rnacentral:rRNA from 1 species
GUAGGGAAUAUUGGACAAUGGGCGAAAGCCUGAUCCAGCCAUGCCGCGUGAUAGAUGAAGGCCCUCUGGGUUGUAAAUAUCUUUUAUCUGGGAAGAAACUCCUCUAUUCUUAGAGGCCUGACGGUACCAGAGGAAUAAGCACCGGCUAACUCCGUGCCAGCAGCCGCGGUAAUACGGAGGGUGCAAGCGUUAUCCGGAUUCACUGGGUUUAAAGGGUGCGUAGGCGGGUUGAUAAGUCAGUGGUGAAAGCUCCGGGCUUAACUUGGAAACUGCCAUUGAUACUGACAGUCUUGAAUGUCGUAGAGGUAAGCGGAAUGUUGCAUGUAGCGGUGAAAUGCUUAGAUAUGUUACAGAACACCAAUUGCGAAGGCAGCUUACUAUGCGAUAAUUGACGCUGAGGCACGAAAGCGUGGGGAGCAAACAGGAUUAGAAACCCCUGUAGUCC